rnacentral:rRNA from 3 species
GCGACCCCAGGUCAGGCGGGACUACCUGCUGAGUU